CGUAGAGCCGCCUACCACUCCCAUGGCGUUCCCAGCCUGUGCCGGGCUGGGCCUGCACUGAUUUAUGUGGCAGUCCUGUGUCAUACUCUCGACCUGAAAAGGAUUUGCACUCCUAUAUUUACCAGGGUGGUCAGGGCAGCCCUCUGGAAACACAGAAAGCCCAGUCUCCGGGCCUCGCUCCCAGACAGUCGUUUCACAACUCUGUGCCAAUAACGUGGACAUUUUGGACCUUACCAGAAUCGGAUGAGGCUCCAGUGUUUCCGUAGCGGGAUGUUUUAGCGGUGCAGAGGUCAGAGUCGACGCGCUCGCGUCUACGCAGCCACAUGGCCACGUUUUGGUAUGCAGAUACACAGACGCAGGCUGAAGGAGAUCUCAGGGAGGAGCUGUGCCGGCUCCAUGUCCUUAACCUGUUUGCAGAAGGGCAACGGAGGGCGGAGCGAAGGGAAAGGCAACAUACCCUUCGUCCGAAAUGGAACACCAGGUGGCAGGAAGUGGGCAGGAGGCCUUUGAAGAUGACCCCUGGUCUCCGCGUUGGGAUGGUCUCGGCGAUCGAUUCAGCCAGAGAUGGCAGGGAGGGGAGCCAGGUGCCCCCAGAGGGUCUUCAGACCACGCAGAUCUAUUAUGGGCGAGGAGGAGAGAGUCGGCUGGGGCCCAGCCCCACUGCUCCCAGUCAUAUCACUGUGGACACAGCCAGAGUCAACUGGCUGCAUCCUAACAAGCAGGCAAACACUGAGAACAGUCUGGUGCACAACAAACUCAACAGGCUCUGCCUCCAUACUGUAAGCUUUAGGAAGGGCUUCCACUGCAGACUGCUGUCAAAUCUGUAUAUAAAACAUUGCAUAACACUGAAUAAUUGGUGUGAGCCCAUACAUGCUAGUAUGCUACGUCUGACACAUGUAACACAUGCAGGUCAGCGAAGAGCAUUUGGAAAUGAAAGAAUCAGAGACACAGAAAUGAGCUUGUUUCGUAUAUUAAUAUAUUUAUUUUCUUACAACCACAGAUUGCAGUUGAGUGACUUGAGAAACUGUGGUGCAGAAGUUGUGGGCUGAAAUGAUAAAUCAACAACAAAAACAAGAUUCAAUAAUACCACAUAACAGAAAGAGCGAGGAAUCAUCAAAAAAGGGACACGAACAAAAAGAAAGCACAAAAGCAGAAAAUUAAAUCAGCAGAUGUUUGUGUGCAAGUGUGCACACGUGAUUGUGGCGAGCUGCUAAGUGAUCUGGUAAAUUGCCAACAUUACACUGAAUUUGUCAGAAAGAAAAUAUCAGCAAAUACUGAACAGCCAUUGUAUGUUUUGGGAUAGUUUUGCCAGUUAACACUAAUGCAAAAACAUCCAGUGAUAAAGCUGAAAUAAUGAGAGGAAUCAGUAGGUAGAUUUGCACGUCUAUGAAUCAGGCUUCCAUUCAUAGUGUUCAUCUAGGGCAGCUCCAGAAAUGCGCGGGCUGCUUUGUAUUUUGGCCAGCUUUGGAGGAGGUGAGUGCUAUCAGUGUCUACAUGCUCAUCCCUCUGUAUUUCUGUGUUUGCUGCUCACAACAUGUAAGCAAACACACAUGUGCACACACAAUUAAACUCACAAACAGAAACUCAAAUCCUGAUCCCCCACCCUCUCCAUGCUUCCCUCCCCAGGCAAGGAAAUGAAAGCUGGGCACUGGGAGAAGGAUGGCUGCAAGAAAUGAAGACGUGUCUGAUUUCCUCAGCAACCAAUGAUGUUGCAGCGCUCUGUACUCUCUGCCCUCUGAUAGGUCUUUGUCACUCUCUUCAUCUUGAGGCCCAUGUCAUUCCCUCUAAUCCCCCUCCCAAACACAAGCAGGCCAAUCCCGAGACAAGACUCAGGGGCUGGGGAGGGAUGAAGCAGCACUGGCUGGGAAAGAGUGAGGGAUGCAGCUCAGGAGGAGAGAAAGGGAGCACCAGAAGCUGAUGGUGGUGUGAGAAGGAGCCAAUGUGUUGUUAUUAAUAAAGCAUUAAAAAAAGUGAGCACAUCAAAGCAUACAGGGGCUAUGCUAUCAUACAUGAAAGUAACGCACUAUGGCUUAAUGUUUCCUAAGGCAUGUUAUGGCGACGCGGCUUUGAUUUGAAAUGCAUUGUGUGGAAAAUGGAUUUACAGGAGUGGGGAGAGAAAGCCUGGUGUGGGAUCAGACCAUAAUUUAAAACCUGACCUCAUAGGCUCUUCAAAGUGUCUGUGAGCGUGGAUAUUUAGGACGUCCUUACAGCGUGUGUGAGAGACCCAAACCACAACAACAUGAACAACAAAUAACACACACAUGCAUGUAAGGGAUGCAGAGAACACCUGCAAAAACAAAGAAUGAGAAAUUACUAUCAAAUCCAACAUGUACCAUUUCACGUUUUGAUUAGCAAAUAUGAUUGGAACUAAUUUUUAUUCUCGCCUUUUUGAGCGCACAGGGGUCGCACCUGAUUGUACUGUGCUCCUUCACCAAUCAAAGCCUGCAGGAAGUGAGGCAUUUUUUUUCUCCAUUGUGCUCCCAUGGCCAGGUAAUUAUCCUAAUCUACCUUCCUUCUGUGCUCCAGCUCCUGUGCCACACUAGCUCAGACCACCUCUGUGGCUUCAUUAUCAGGGUUGGGACUCACUAAUGGCUCGACGGCCUCACUGUGCAGGCUGCUGGCGAAGAGAAACCAGGGGGAGAAGGAAAAGGAAGAAGAAGAAGAAGCAGGAGGAGGAGAACGGGGAAGAGAGGGAGGAAAAAUGAGUCGCUAAAGAGCAAGGGGUUGCCCUGAAGGUUAACAUCUCAAUCAUGAGGGGACAAUGCUCUCUAGUCAAAUGGUUUCGGCUUCUUGAAAGUCAAGAUGAAGCCACAGGGCACAACAGUGUCAAAGAGGCAGCCGGGAGAUCGGCUCUCUGCACCGCAGGAUGACCAGGACACGUGUGUUUGAGGUGGCAGGUUGCUGUGUUUACGUGUGCACGCCACACACACCCCCACCUUGCGUGCUGGAAACAGCUAUAACCUCACAACAUACAGAAGGACUGGGGGUGGGAUAUCAGUUUCACUUUAUUUUUUUCUGACAAAUGACACUCUGACAGUUGGAAAAAAUGUUGGGGUCCCUGAACAGAUUUCUCAGUUACAAAAAUAAAAUGUGUUGGAUCAGACAAAGACAGACAUUUUACAUUCUACUUUUGAACCCCAAUGAGAGCACUGACAAAUGCCACCCCACCCCCACUCCGUCUGUGCCAUGAUUGUUUUUUCUCUCCAGAAAUGUCAUAUAGUUAAGAGGUGAUAAUUCUAUAUGGCACAAACAGACACUGACUUCUUCCAAGUGUACAUAGCAUAUAGGCUGACAGAUUGAGAUGGUGUAACAUGUCUUUGCAUCACUCUAAAUAGGCAUGCGAGCUUUAAACAUUCUUUAUAUACCCUGAGAUUCCAUUGGAAACCUUCUGAAAUGGAAAAAAGAACUCAAAUGCAUUGCACUGGAGGUGAAAAAAAAUGUUCAGAGGUUAAAAAUAGCGCAGACCUCAGUGAUACGUGAAAAACUGUAGUACUCUUAUGUGUGUGCAGGUGUAGCCUACAUUCACGAAAACUCUCGAAAUGCAGAAAACUGCAUUGAUACACAUCGUACUGAAUCCCCUGAGGGUUGAUGUUAACGCUUAGUCUGCAGCGCAACAGAUCCUAUGUUAAAUGCACAUUUAAAGAAACGCUUAUGUCAGUUUCUAUGAAUCUUGUGAUGCAUUUUUUUUGCUUCCAACAGUUUAAAGAGAAACUUUUGUCAGAUUUAUGUCACGUCAACACUUGAAUUUAGCGUCUUUCAGAGCCCUUAUGUUUUAAGUUAGGUUAAACAUGAAAUGCAAAACUUAAUUGUAGCUGCUGCUUUGGUGAUUUACUCUAUAAUGAAGAAUUGUAGGUAAGUGAGAGUCGGUGGCUUUUUAAAAUUCAAAUAAGACAAACACUUCUGAAACACCUCCACAUUGAAACAUCCUCUUUCACAGAUGAAAAUUAAGCCAUGCUCUUUUGCAGACUGGUAGUAGUGUGAGUGGAGCCAAAUGAUCUGCAAAUGAGGCGAAACGUUUAAGUAGCUUAGGGGACUGCAGGAAGUCAACCAUGAAACACGUGGUUCUUCCAAAGCAGUGUAAAAAUUAAUACUGGUGCUCAAAAAUACCUAAAACUAGAAAUAUAACUGGACAAUAGGAGGUCAAAAUACAGUGAGUGGAUUUGAGUUAAUGGGUCAGUGCAACCAAAUUACUUAUUUUCUCACUAACAUAAAUCUAAACAUACAGAAAGUUGGGGUUUUGUUGUUUAGUAUUUGGAGAUUUCUGUCUUUCUCUUAAAUAUUCACUGAGAGGUCUGUUCAAGAACCAGUGUAACAAGAGCAUCGUUUCCGUUCAAUGAUUUGGGUGAAAGGACUGUUUAAAGCUCAGGUAGGCAUUUUUCCCAUAAUACCCUGUCAGGAUAUUGUGACUCAAGUAGUCUGAGAGAGAAUUUUGCACUUCCUCUUUGUUCUUUGGAAAAUCUAACCUGAAAUGUCAGUCACAGGGCGUUUCAUGCAGAUCAUUUGAGAAAGUAUAAAAAGCAACAAGUCUACAGUGGAAAUAGGAGGUGUGGUGCAAUGGGACAAACAGAGGGAUCAAAACCUGAUACAAGCUAGAAGUGAAUAUAAGGCUGAUUACUUUUGUGUAAUUGAAGCUGCUGAGGGGCUGUUUGUUGUUGUUGUUUGUUUGUUGAUCAGAGCUUUCCAGAUUACUGCCUACUGCAGCUUUAAGACAUAGUUUGCAUGAUGGCAGCAAGAACUAAAGAAGUAACGUAACCUGGAUGAAGAACUUGCCUGAGUCACUUCAAAUUCAAAGUAACGUCAACACAAAUUAAAAUGAUGAUUUGAAAGUGUAUUAAAUGGUAGCAGAGGCAUCAAAUUAGUGUAAAACAUUUGUUCACUGCUCAUCUUGUUAAUCUGUAUUACUGCUCAUCGUGCUCUCUUUAGUGUACACCACAUUUAGUCAUUUUUUAAAAUUAUUCAGACGUACCACAAUUCACCACAUUUCAACUUACACUGUCAUUAACCAGUCUGAGUUUUAUAUAUAAAAAAAAGGUCUGUAUUUUUAAAAGUAGUCCAAUAGGGCAAUUCUAAGCUCAAACUAUGUUAAUACCUUCCUAAUUGCAGGAAUUGCAAAGAAAUCCACCGCAAAUGAAAAUCUAAGAGGGCAAAUUGGUACAUUGGCAUAUAUAAUUUAUUGAGCAAAUGUUGAAAUGGCACUUUUAUAGAAAAGGAGGUUCUCUUCCUUCUUAGGUGAAACACUGAAAUGGUUCCAGUAUGAAGUACCUCUUAGGACACCUAUAUUAGGUAAGCAUAUAAACGGCUUAAUUAAGGUGACAGUAAAUGUGCAUGCUUAGGGCUCAGGAAGAUAUUAAUACAUUCUCCACCCCAACAUUGUUGUCAGAUGGCACAUGCAGUUAUCAGAAGGGAACAACUCUGUGUGGGGCUUGGUGCCGACAAGGAUGAAGACAUGCUUUAUUUUUUGUCGUGGUAAUGUGAUGAUACUUGAUGCCAUAACAGCAUUUUUUUGCGCAGGAUUCUGAAUCAGAAACGUGCUAAAUAUAAAUAUGCUAAAAUAGUUUCAAAUGGGGUUUCGGGAAAGAAAGGGAGAAAGAAGAAAGAUCUGCUUCAAAUGUUUUCCCUUUCUUCCCCGGAGAACUAUGUUCGUUUAGCAAAGAGUUCUUGAAGGUGAGAGAAGCGAACCUUAUUCUGGCCUUUCUAGGUCAGAAGAGAGCUUGAAAUGUAAAGGUCUGUUUAUUGGAGCACUUCAGUUGUGUUGUAGCAGAUCACAAGCUUUUGUUUUGUUGUCAAGCUAGUAGCUGGUUGCUUUCUGCAUCAGGUCGAGUGCUGAGCAAUGUGACUGUAAACCAUUAAAUAUUGUGACUUCUCAGAGUGUAAAAUACAUGCAAAGGAGGAUACAGCCAGCUGAAGGCAGGAGGUGGAACAGUUUUUCCCACCCCCAAAAUUCUUGCAUGUGAAAACCUGAGCUGCUUCCAUGAAAGGCUCUUAAAGGCAUGCAAAAAUCUGCUCUUCUGCAGCUUCUUUGCUUUGACAAACUAAAAUAGGAACCAGCUAGCACUAGUGUUCCUCAUAAACAAGCAUCUAUGACAGAAGAAAUAUGUUUUUUUUUCUCGCUCUCUAAAGACUGCUGAAAAAUACACAAACAGCACUGACAGAGAAUACGGCGAACAUAACAAUGUCAGGCAAGAUGUUUGUCAAUCUCUGGAUUAAUUGCAAGCUGCAUGUUUACAUGCACCUGUACAGAAAUGUAAUGUAUCUGCUAAAUUGUGGCUGGCAUUUUGUGAAAAAGUGUAAGUUUACAGGAUUGAGGAAACAAACACAUACAAGCAGGGCUGUUAUAACUUUUUUGGGAGCCCUGU
ensembl:lncRNA